UCUCCAGUCCCACGGGAGCUGCUUGCCCAGUUCCAUGUGGAAGCAUCACAACCUAACUCAGCAUAGCGAGUCAGGUUCUAUUAAGGUGCUGGGUAGUUGGGGGCUCACUGGAGUCCACUCACCUCUGCUGCCAUCCUCUGUGUCAUCUCUUAUCGUGAAAUACUCUCAGAAGGCGAGCCAGGAGCAGAGUUCUGACUGCUUGCAAACUAGCUCUUUCCCACAAGGAAGAGGAAGGUACUAAAGAAUCCAGGUCCUCUUCCAUAUGUUUAUACAGAAGCUGAACUAGGAUGAAAGGCCUUUUCCAUUUCUGCUAACUGCACUGAGAUCUCCCAUAGGAUUUACUUCUGCCACUGAAACGCCACAUGGGAUUUCACUUUACUUGGGCACAUUAUUAGUCAUGCUUCCAUGGCUUUGAAAAUAUUAUACCAAGCCUGAUUCAUAUUCCAUCCCAAACUGCCACCAUUGAGAGCAGCAGAGGCACUCAACCUGGAACCACAUUUGUAUGAGAGGAAGGAGACUGUUAGCAGGGUGUUUUCUCUCCCUCCUGUGGCCCAAACUAGCACCAAGCAGAUGACCUUCAUGACAUGUUGCAAAGCUCAUAUUUUCCCCUCUGGAAAUGAGGUAUGGAUGAGGCAUUGUUUGAGGGGGAGGAGGAUUUGAGAAUUUAAGUUGCCUGUCUUACUAGUGGUGGGUUAUUUUAAAUUAUAUUGCUGCACUUAGAACAUAUUUAAAACUAUGCCAAUGGUGCCUAGGUUUAAUUUUUCAGCAUAUCUAGCCAUCUAAAUAAAUGUUUGAUUGUCUUGUCUA